rnacentral:rRNA from 1 species
AGCGAACGCUGGCGGCAGGCUUAACACAUGCAAGUCGAGCGGGCACCUUUGGGUGUCAGCGGCAGACGGGUGAGUAACACGUGGGAACGUACCCUUUGGUUCGGAACAACUCUGGGAAACUGGAGCUAAUACCGGAUACGCCCUUAUGGGGAAAGGUUUACCGCCGAAGGAUCGGCCCGCGUCUGAUUAGCUAGUUGGUGAGGUAACGGCUCACCAAGGCGACGAUCAGUAGCUGGUCNGAGAGGAUGAUCAGCCACACUGGGACUGAGACACGGCCCAGACUCCUACGGGAGGCAGCAGUGGGGAAUAUUGGACAAUGGGCGCAAGCCUGAUCCAGCCAUGCCGCGUGAGUGAUGAAGGCCUUAGGGUUGUAAAG